AUGGGCGCAUUAACCAUCACUGGGGUCCAAGCUGAGGACAAGGCCAUGUAUUACUGUUGGAGCUACGAUGACAGCAGAGCUGAUAAAGCUCAUGGUGACAUGGAGCUACAGGCAAGUUCCCUGGUCCAGGCAGUGCUGACUCAGCCCCCAUUGCUGUCAGUGGAACCAGGAAAGUACAUCCAGAUCACCUGCUCUGGACUUAGCAGCAGCAGCAGCAGCUAUGAUUCUGUUGGCUGGUACCAGCAGAAGGUAUCAGGCACUGCCCCUGUGACUGUGAUCUACAGAAACAACAAUAGACCCUCGGACAUCCCUUCGCGAUUCUCUGGAUCCUUGUCUGGCUCCACAGGCACUUUAACCAUCACAGGGAUCCAAGCUGAGGACGAGGCUGUCUAUUACUGUGGGAGCUGGGACAGCAGCAGUGCUGAUCAGCGUCCUGGUGCCCCCAAGGUGGCCAUGGUUGGGUGCUCCUGGUUGACUAUCAACUGUCUGCCAUGCAUGGGGGCAGCAGUCCUAAUGGUGGAUGUGGAGGGUGUGACGCUCCUGGUAGCGCAGACCUGUUGUGUGGCUGGUUCCUCCUACCCUCAAAAUGUCUUGUCCUGUGUCUGGUCCUGUGGCUCAGUUCAGGGCUGA